rnacentral:lncRNA from 1 species
CUAUCUUCCUGCUUUGGCCUCCCAAAGUGCUAAGAUUACAGGUGUGAGCCACUGUGCCAGCCUGUUUAACUCUUAAGGGGAGGUGACUAAUGGGAGAAGGAGUGGUGGUGGUGGUGGGGUGUGAGAUAGUAUGAUACUGCGAAAGUCACAGGUGAAAUUUCUCUGGAAAUUUCUGUUGGAAGAUGGGGUUUGAUCAUACCUACCAGUUUGCCUGGACAUUCUGAUUCAUUCCAGGUGUUCUGGCAUAAUUAUUAAUACUGCCAACUUUCAUGCCGAAGAAAGUGCCAGUUUGGAGGUAAAUUAUCUGGUAACCAUUCCGCAGGGUUGUGAAAAUUAAUGAUAAAACUUGUAUAAACAUGCUCUGUGAAUUAUAAAGCACUGUACAAAUAAAAGGAAUUAAGGGACUUAAGUUCUUUUAUUGAAUUCUCCUGUUAGAGACAAACAAAUAUGUCUAAAAUUGUUAUCUACUUUGGUCUGUUAUUGGACUGAGAUCUGUUUGGAUUUCCAUGAAAAUAAACCUGCAAGAAAAUUAAUUUUAUUUUAAGGUAGCUUAGCAUGUGCUUAACCACUUUCUAGAUUCAAUUCCUUUCAGUGGUCUGUUCUGGAUUCUCACAUGUAUGCUAGAGGUUUUCUGCUGUUUUUGUUUUUUUCAAAUUUAUGAGUCCUUUCAAAUCUGGCAUUUUACAGUUUUGAUGGAUUUUGAAUAUGGGGGAUAUCCUAAUGCCCUAGGAAUUUUUAAAACCCGUUUCAGAAGGGAAAGAGUAUAAAACGAUUAUGUGUUAAGUAUUUACCAUAAAGAAGGCAGAGUAGAGUGUCCGCCCUUAAAGAGCUAGCAAUAACCAUGUCAUGUGUCCCUUAUAUCAAACCAUAUGGGAGAGGUUUAAUUGAUUUCCCUUUUCACAUGGAAGGGAAUUGAGGCACACAGAGGUUAGAUAACUUUGUUUACUGGCUACAGCCAGUAAAGAAUUAGGAUUUAAGGACAUCUAAUCUGAGCCAAAACCUGUUGAUCAUCCAUUCAGAAGUUACAAAUAUAUAUUGAAUUCCGACUCUAUGCCAGGCACUGUGUAUAUGAGUACACUGUGGUAAGUAAAACAGGUGUGGUCCUUAUUUCUAGUUUGGUGUCAUCAUUAUCAAUCAGGCCAUCAUCUAUUAAAUAGAUAUCCCAGAUGUUUUGUUAAGUGCUUUGCUUGCAUUAUCAAUUAAAAUUGUUACAACUGUGUAUUAUUAUUAUUAUUUCUAUCUUAUAGAUGGGGAGACUGUGGCUCAAUGAGGUCAAACAAUUUGCAGUCAGGGAGUAGGGAUGCUUUGAAUAUGGCCAUCAUCUCACUGGCUCACUGUGGUAAGUACCACAUGCAGGGACUGUGGGUAGGAGUGGGAGCUGGGCUGAGAGGAGCCUAGUGGGGAAAGCCUGGAGCAACCUGACCCUUAUGGAAUCAUUUUUAAAAUAAGGAAUAGGCUUUGGUCUUGGAAAAAAAGUGUUAAAAAUGUAAUCUCUUCACAAAUUCUUGUCAAAAAUAAUGAAGUACAAAACCAUUAAAAUUAAAAAAGGUAACAGUGAUUAUUAUAAUAAACAUUAUAUGGUAAGUAAUGGUAGGUAAUAAGUGAUAUAUUUAGGUUUACUUGAAGUAAACUUUAUGAGUAUGACUUGAGAGAAUGUCUGAACCCUGAUUAGUAUUCACUUGACCUAGUUCCAGUUUUUAUCUGCUGAAUGAAGAAUGUAUCCCUGGAACAUAGAUUUAUAGGUGCUUGCAUUUGAGGCAAAUUUGACAUACUUUGCCCCUCAGUAGUUUUAUUUAUUUAUUCAUUUUUGAGACAGAGUCUCACUCUGUUGCCCAGGCUGGAGUGCAGUGGCAUGAUCUCAGCUCAUUGCAUCCUCCGUUACCCACUUCAAGCGUUUCUCCUGCCUCAGCCUCCCCAGUAGCUGGGAUUACAGGCAUGUGCCACCAUGUCCAGCUAAUUUUUUUUUUUUUUUUUUAAGUAGAGACAGGGUUUCACCAUGUUGGCCAGGCUGGUCUUGAACUCCUGACCUCAAAUGAUCUGCCUGCCUCGGCCUCCCAAAAGUACUCCUUUUAAUAUAAUUGUAGAGAUGUGUAUUUCUUUUAGUUGCUUUUAGUCUUACCAGCAUCCUUUCUUUCCCCCUCUCCUGGUUUUAGAACCUCUGUUUUCUUUGGGAACCAAAAACCCUGACAUGAAUACAGCUAACCCCAUCUCUCAUUCCACAGUCAUAGGGAUUCUCUCAAUUCCCCUGCCACAGUGAUGAAUUCAGGGAUGGGCAUGGAUCCAAGAUGAGCAAAUUCAAGUACUCCCGGGACCUUUCUGUUGCAGUUAUCAGGAAAGAUGUUUCCUUCUGAUUGGGGUUUUCUCAGUUAGCUGGGCAUGAGUCUGGUACUGCUCAUGAUCACUCUGUCUAACCUAUGUACAGAUUAGUGUCCAAGAGAUACAGGACAGACUCUGAUGACAUCAUUUGAGCCCUGGAUGCCACUUUGCCUGAAUUCAGUUUAUCUUUAAACUUUGGUCAUGUGAACUUACAAAUCUGUUUUAUUUGUUUUUGCUGGAGCUUCUUCAAAUUGUGUUUCUGUUACUUGUAACUAAAACAAUUCCCAGUUUCAGCAAUAUUCCACUGAUGCUCUAACAAUUUAAAAAUAAAACAAGUAUGAGAUCACCCUUAUUCUUGCCAUUAUAUUAGAUAAAACUGUGGGCAUCCUAGUUUCUUCACUAAAAUAUUGGUUUUCUUUUUUUUUCCAUUUCUUCCUUAAGUUCUGGUGCAUUCAGGGUGGUACUCGUGUCUGAAUAAUUACUAGUUGUACUUUUGUAGGGGGAGUGAUGCCAGGAGGACUUCUGUUCCACCAUCUUGCUGAUGUUACUCUCCCUCACUAAAACAUUGUGUGUGCAACUAGGGUCAUCUGGGCAGCUGAAAAAAAAAGUCAAAGAAAAACUAAGGCCUUCCUUUCCUAUCACCCAUCAAUGUUGGCAGAGAUGGAAAAAACAGGCACCGUUUAGGUGCUGGGAAUGGAGCAGUGAACCACACUGACAACAACUCCCUGCCUUCAUAGAACCUGCCUUCUAGAAAGGGAAGACAGAGCAAAAAAAAAAUAAACUGGAUCAAAGCUAUACUCAACUUCAAGAUGACUGUUCACUGAGAAAUGUGAAAUUAAUAUGAAAUAUGAAAGAAAACUCUUACUAUGUAAAUGAAUCACAGAAUCCAAGAAAGAUGUGCCGGAUGGGAACUAGAGGUCAUCUAGAUUGCAUUCUGUCUAAUCAGAUCAUAUGAAGGUAAGAUUUCUGGGCUGAAGAGUUAAAAGUGUAUCCUUCUCACAUUAGAAGAGAGAAAUGGAAAGAAUCCAAGCUUUUUAUUCAAACAAGGCUGGAUUUAAAUUUUGAUGCUGCUUCUUAACUUUCUGUGUCCUUUGGGCAAAUUAUUUAACCUCUCUAAGAUUUAGAAAAGAAAGAUGGCAAUAGUGCCUACUUCUUAAAAUGGUUUUUAGAUUUAAAUGAGAAUGGGGAAGAUAGAUACGUAGGUAGGUAGAUAGAUGUAGAUACAUACGUACACAUAUUGCCGAAUACCUAAUAUGCAGCUUUUUAGCAUUAUUAUUAUCAAAGCCUCUUUUAUUCCUCAGUGGCCAUUGGCUAGAAAUAUUUUGAUAUCAUUUCUUUUGGGUUUAAAAGAGAAGGAAGAUAACCACUGAAAUCUCUUUGUCCUUUUUUAAAAAAAAGCAUGGUAAGCACAUUUAACAUGAGAUCUACCCUUUCAACAGACUUUUAACUGUGAAAUACAGUAUUUUUAACUACAGGACAAAUGUGCAAUGGAUCUCUAUAACUUACUUAUUUUGUGUAAGUUCCUGUUAACUAGCAACUCACCAUUUCCCCCUCUCUGCAGCCCCUGGCAACCACCACUGUGCUGUCUGCUUCUACAGGUUUGACUAUUUCAGAUUCCCCAGAGUCGUGUGUCUUCCAAUACUGAUAGAAUAGUAUUGAAGACCAUGGUAUAUUUUUUUAUGGACAAGAGUAUUGUGAUAUCAUCUCUUGCUGUCUAUUCUCCUUCAGCUUCUUCCCUUAGUUUUUCUUUUCCUAUAGCGCAGAAUCUCUUCUGUGUCCUUUCUCCAGUCUCAUUUUCUGUUGAAUGGCCUCUAUUCAGGAUUUGUUUCCGUAACACUACUGAAACCGUACUUCUCAGGGUCAUCAGUGAACUCCAUCUUGCUAAAUCUGGUGGCAAAUUUUUAUUCCUUUUAGUAUGUGAUAUAUUAGCACAAGAUGGUUUCCUUCUCCUGGAAGUUCUUUUUUCACUUAGCUUCUAGGACAUCACAUCUUUCUGGUCUUCUUUCCAUCUCACUGGCUGCUUCUUUUCAGGUCUCCUUUGUGGGGCCCUCCUUCUCUCUCCCAUCUAUAAAUGUCACAGUGCUUGGGUUUCAGCUCUUGUUCCUUGCUCCACCCACAUUCCCUCCUCAGUAAGCGCAUUAUCUUCCAUGGUGGGAAUACAGUCUAUAUGCUAAUUGGUCUCAAAUUCGUAUCUCCUACUCCGAUUUCUCCCUGAAGUUCAGGUCAUAAAUCCAACCGCCUCCUUUAUUACUAUCUGGAUGUCCAGUAGGCAUCUAAAAAUUAUCAUGUCCAAAACAAAACUCUUGUUUCCACUUCCUCAAAAAUCCACCCCUUCCCCAUGCUUCCCUGGUUUAUUAGAAGGCAACUCCAUUUUCCCCAAUCACCCUUGAAAUAAUCCAGAACUCUUCUCUUUACCUCAUACCCAUCAUCUACAGCAAGUCCUGUUGCCUCCACCUUCAAACUUGAUUUCCAGUCCAACCACUUCUCACCAUCUCUUAGCUCAGCCCACAGCACCUACACUGGACUGGAGUGUAAUGCCUGCAUUACUUUGUAGUCUCCUAAAUGAUCUCCUAGUUUAUAUAUUUGGCAGGUGCCAGAAUGAUCCUUUAAAACUCUAAAUUAGAUCAUAUUAUUACUCUGCUCAAAACCAUCUAAUGGCUUCUCAUCCCACUCAGAAUAAAACCUAAACUAUUUAUCAUGUUCUGCUUCUCCAGCAUCAUCUCCUAUCACUGCCGGCCUUACUUGCUUUUCUCCAGGCACACCAGCCUUCUUGCUGUGUCUCAGACACGACAGGCAUGUUCCUGCCUCAGAGCCUUUGCACCCACUCCUCCGUCUCCCUGGAAUAUUUUGCCGUCAGAUCUUUGCUUGGCAGCUGGCUCCCUCACUUAGUACUAGGUUCUCAUCUUUAAGUAUCACAUCUUCAGGGAGGGCUUCUCCAAUCCCCCUUUUUAUACUCUCACUCACUCUGAGCUAGGUGCUGUUCUAGGUGUUGGGGGAACAGCAGUGAAUAGAGAGCUCCUCCUCUCUGAGGUUUACCCCACCUCGUCCUAUCCCAUCCCAUCUCAUUGCUCUGCACCUAUUAAGUUCUUCUUUUAAUUUUUUUUCUCAUUGUACAUAUUAUUGCCUGGUACCUUUCCAUAUAUUUAUUUUCUUCUUUAUUUACAAUCUCUUCUCUGUUAGAAUGUAGGCUGAAUGAGGACAGGUACUGUUGUAUCCCUAGCCCCUAGAAUAGUGCUUGGCAGGUGGCAGGCACUCUAUAAGUGUUUCUGGAAUGAAUGAUUGUAGAAGUAGUUUGAUAAAUAGAAGUCUAUUGCAGGCAAUAGGCAGAGACUUCAUCUUGCCAUAUGUGACUUAGAAGGGAUGUGAGUAGAAUAUGAAUGAAUGUUUCAAGCUGAAGCCUACUUCAUGGAUGUCACUAGCAGUUCCUGAGUACAUCCUAGAUGUCCAUUCAGUGUUCUAUACUUUAUAGCUUUGAAUGAUGAUUUGGCUUUCAAAAGAUAUACAUGUCCAUCUUGAAUUUUUCGCAGUGAGUUUCGGUUGCAUAUGCCCCGGUUUAUUUGUGUAUGAUAUGUGCUGUGCCUGGCAUCUGCUCUGCUUUCUGGCCCUCUGUGUGCCUGUGCCCAGAGGACAUCUGAGAGUUAGUUGGCAUAUUAUAAGGUAGUAUCAGAAAACCUUUGCUCUGAGCCCUCUGACUGAUCCUAUUGGGGUUGAGAAACCUAUCAAGUACUGCUAAGCUGGCAGAAUGACAAAAUCAACUCACACAAGGAAAUAAAUCAGGCGCGGUGGGCAUGGAGAGCCUUGAGGACCAAUGGCAGAGGAAGACAGAGAUUAUGGCUCAUGGAUGGUAGAUGAUUGAGGACUGGAUAGAAACUGGGUUGUCCAGAAACACUAUGUCUUAGCCAGAGCUGGAACAUUGGCAUUUGAAGCUGAAGACUAGUCCUGGCACUUUCAAGCUCUAUCUGUGUUAGGAUUGGGGUCCUCUCCUCCAGUCACUUUUCUUUUUGUCCAUAAUGGAAGUUGCAAGUUGACACUUAUAAGCCCAGAGUUUUGAGAUGCUGGUGGGUGUGUUUUCUGGGCAGAGUACCUUUCCCCCAGUGCUCUCAGCCAGUCCAGAGGCAUCUCUCUGAUGAUGCAGGGUUGGGUAUGAUGUGCCUACACCUGCAAUGAGGCACCGGAAAUAUAGGCAUUAAGAGAGGAGAUUUCCAUGAGAGUCAUAGAAAAGAAACUUGCCAUUCAAAGUGGCUUUUUGACUUCACUGUUUCCAGGAAGUGCUAUCUCUGACAGGAAUUAUUUCCUUGCUUUCUGCCAGUGAUCGUGCAUGUUUUUGGCAAUGUGAAAUGUGGGUGCUUGGAGGAGAAAUGCACAAAUAAAAGGAGAGGAAGGGAGAUAAAGUAAAGGCAUCAUUGUUGUUCAGUUCUUCAGAAAGAUUAUCCAUCCUCUCUAACAGUGUCUUUUUUUCCUUAGUGUCACAGAGUGAAAAGAGCAAAAACUUUGGAAUUAGACACAUUUGUGCUUAAAUCCUGGAUAUUUCAGUUAUGGUGUUGGCUUAGGCAAAAAAUCUUAAUUUCUCAAAUCUUAGGUUAUUAAUCUGUAAAACUGGAUAAAUAAUAUCUAUGAUAUAGGGUUGUUUUGAGUCUUAAGUGAAAUAGGUGCAAAGUACAAAGCAUAGGGCCCGAAAGAUUCCUCUAUAAAUAGUAACUUUAAAAAGGGGAGUCAGGAGAGAAAAUACCGCAUCAGAUAUGAACGACCUGGGCUUCACUUAUUAAUUUAUUGAGCAAAUUGUUAAACUGAGCAUCUUCUUUGAAUCUAGAAACGGGUGAUAUGAUGGGCAAGAUAGAUAUGCCUCCUUAGAGGCAAAAGGUGCAGACAGGUAAAAACACAUGCAAAUGUAAAAAUAUAAGAGAAGUGCUAAGCAUGAUAAGUGUCACUAUGAAAGGAAGAGAAGAAGGAAAGGGGAAACUGCUUUAUAUAGAGUGAUCAGGGAAGGCUUCCUGGAGGAGGUGAUGUACAAGCUGAGAAAGAAGAAUAUGAAGGAGCCAGACAUGUGAAGGCUGGAGGGAAGGGUUCCAGGUAGAAGAAAGGAUGUUAGCAAAUGUUUGAGGCCAAACAAAACUUGGUGUGUUUGAGGUACUGAAUACCAGAGUGGCUGAGAUGAGAGACCAGUGCCAGAACACGAGAGACACAUAGGAUGAAAGGACUGGCAGUUAUUCCUGGGGAAAGUCUCUCUUGAGAACCUGUCACAAGAACAUGCCAUGUUGUAAGAAGGUUUCUCCCUUUGGUUAUUAGUCUUCCCCCAACAGUCUUGGAAGUAAAAUGAAGCUAUUUUGUUGUAAUGCAAUAGUUUGCCUAUAUUGGAAUCAUUAGCAUUCGAUCAUAUCUUAGUGUUGCUCUGUGAGAGGAUGGUGCAUUAUGGUGAAUUAUCUGCUGUUCUCCACAGGAGCCAAAGCUGUCUUCCUGUUAGCUCCAGAGUAAAAGUAGCCUGCAGCCCACACCCUGGGGUCUGAUGAAAGGACUCACACUCCAGUCUGCAUUCCUGCUGCACCUGCCAGACCCUGCUGACAAAAUUUCUGUUUCUCCAUUGACCAAAUAAAACUGCAGUGUGGCCCCUUGGAGGGUUCCAGGAAAACUGAAGCUCCACUUCUCGUUUUUUAAGUUAGCCUGCUGCCACCUGGAGCUGAAAGCUGUAAUCCCCACUCACCCUGGUGGGGACCUGACCUCUCUCCCACUGGAACCAGGUUGGUGGGAAGUAGCAAGAGAACUUGAUUUCACUCCUAUUUAGAGAGUCUAUGUUCUCUGCUUCUGGUCUCACCUUCAAAAUUAGGGCAGUGGUCUUUGAUAGGAUGAUAACAGCAAGACAGGAGAGGUAGGCAUCGGCCAAACCAUGCCACUGAAUGACAUAACAGCUGAAUGACCUCUAGCAAAUUAUUUAUCUUCUCCAGACACUUUUUUUUGUCCCUAAAAAUAGGAACAACAUUAUCUAUCUCUUAGUGUUGUGGGGGAAGAUAUGAGUACAAAAAGCAAUUGGCAUGCUAGGUGUUAAUUUAUUCUUUCUUCCCUUUUUCUCUUCCCUUCCCUUCUCUGGUCAGUGAGUGCUUCUCCCUCUUUUCUGUCUCUUAUUAUUGAAUAUCUCAUCUUUCGUAUGUGAUGUGGUGGUGAAUCCCAGGUGGGCAUUCUCACCACUUGUUAUAUCAUGGCCAAGUGCUUGGAGAAAGAUGUGAUCACAAUAUUGAAAAUUAAGUCAUUUAGAGUCAAUUUCACUUAAUUAUGCUCUCUCUCUCUGCCCCAACAUCCACCAGGCCUGCUCUCAAUGUGCAAUGUUGCUUCAUUUGGUAGUAUCCUUGGAAAAUGAGGGGUUUCAUAUAAAUGAGUUUUUAGAGCUUUUUCAAGAAAAAUUAAGCCCAUCUUUUUGUGGCAAAUUGUAGCAGGCCUUCUCUUAGGCCCAAAGGCACAGUAGCAAAUACAAUGUGUAAGUGGUAAUGGUGCUGAUGCAAGAAUUUUCUUAGAUCAGAAAGUCCCACCUGGGGAGAUUUUAACAUCUUUCACACUCAGGCCAUACCUCGGGCCAAUUACAUCAGAAUCUCUAGGGGUGGGAUCCAGGCAUCAGUAUUUUUUAAAGCUUCCAGGUGAUUCGAAUGUGCAACCAAAGAUGCGGAACCACUGCUAUUCAGUUUCUUAACGCUCGAAACCUCUGAAUGUGUCUAUGUUUCUAUGAAUUAAAAAAGAACACUAUAAUCAUGUGUUUGCUGCAGGGCAACAUUAUGGCCCACAGGGAUGGGGGUGAAUGAAGCCUCAGUCAGAAGCAGACACAUCUUUAUGGAAAUGACCAUGAGAGGCCAGCUCUGGCAAGGCAUGAGUAUUGGCCACCACAGCUGAUAGCCAUGUGCCCAUAACAAACAGUGGAAUUGUGCCAGUUUUCAAAGGGAAUUCUUACAACCAUUGUGGAAGACAGUGUGGUGAUUCCUCAAGGAUCUAGAAC